rnacentral:lncRNA from 1 species
CGUGAAAUGAAUCUUGCCCCUAACAUUAAAAGAUGCUUAUUAGCUAGAUGCUAGAUGCACCAAAAAAGCUUGGGAAAAAGUCUGAAAAUGUAAUAGACUUUUCCUCUUUUUGCAAAGACAAACCCCAAACCCUUCUUAUAGCGGGAGAAUUCAUAUUUAUAUUGCCCAUACAUGUUGCUUCAAGCUACAAAAUAUAUUUCAACUUAAAAAAAUUACGUUGUUGGCAACAGAUCAUAAAAAUGGAAAAUAUAGAUUUCCUAAAUGGUACUGAAAUAUCCCCAUCUGCCCACAUUUACCUGUUAUUUAAGUUCCCAGUUUAAAUUAAACUUACUCAGCCUUCUCUUCAAUGUGCAGUGUUGUAGACACAUUCUAGCUUUUUAGUUCAGUGACCUCUGAGCAGUUAAGAUGUAAAUGGUGUGGGUGCCAUAACUUUGAUGACAAUUUAUUUUCAAACUAAAAUGGGGAGGGGGAUUAGCCUCAUUCGACCAUUCUGGUCUUGCCAGUUUACAUUCUGUUUCGCUGCACAUGAGAGCUCAGCGGUCAGGAUGGUGGAUCAGGAUAUGAAGGAGGGGGGUGGCUCCCCCUCUUUUAUAAGCCCCUCCUCUAUAAAACCCUUGAGGUACAGUAAAUACAAAGUCCUAUGCUUUUUUUUGCUCUGUAUGAAAUGCUCUCUUCGGUAAAAAGAAAAACCAAGCAGAAUAAAUGGACUUCAACCUUUGGCAACACUGGGUGUUAUUGACUACAGGUAGUCACGGACAUUGAUAUUUUUGCUCUUGUAUCCAGGUUCUGUGUUGUAGUCAGUGCUACUGUGAGGGGGGCAGAGAGGCCUGCAUUCUCCUGCAGCAGUCAGACAGUCUACAGGUCACAUACCGAGAAAAACAAUUCUCAGAGAUAACUUGGUGAUUGGAGCUGUGAACAGUGGUGGAUGGUGGAUUCUGGGGAUGCUGGGAUGUAUUCUCUGAGCACCUCUGUACCAUCUACAUUUUACUAACUUUAAACAGAAAAUGAUGUGUUAGUCAGAGCAUCUGGGUAGCGUGAGAACAGAACUGUAAGUCUACAGGGUGGUUUGAGUCAGGAGGAGAAGUGUGAAGUGACAUUAAAACAUCAUGCUUUCACUUCUUCUGUUCUGCUGUUACUAAUGCACUGGGGCAAAACUUGGUAAAGUAACACACAUGACCCGACCAGCAGUCACAACUUCUUAAUCAUGGCAUUGUCUCUCUGUGAUGUACAGGACCUGUUGGUGUGGAUACACAGGGAUCUGCAAAUUAAGAUGUAAGUACAACAAAUAUAAUUAUAUUACUUUGUCUAAAUAAUUGUAUGGCACUCAUUUCAGAACCUUGAUGUCAUUUUUCAAAACUCGAGACACAAAACUCACAACCGAUGAUCAAAAUGCACAUUAUUCAAAACUCUAACACUUUUUCCAAUUGCUUGGAUACAAUACACAUAAAGCUAAGAUAAUUUGUUCAUUGAACUAAAAUCACCUGUUCAAAAUGACACAACUUAACAUCAAAGUAUUACCAUUUCAAAAUGCAAUUCACACAUUACAUCUGAGAUGACUGUCUAUUCAUUUCAUUACAAUGAUCUAACUAUCAAUUGAUACAACUGCUCAAAAUGAUAAGUAAAUGUUGCAUUACUCUUAAUGCAUAGUUUUAUGGAAACUGACGAACAAUAUUCCAUGUUUAGAUCAUGAAAGUUUCAGGAUAACGAGAUCCAUUGACACCAAUUACCGUGGAUCAUGAACCAAUUGGACUACAUUAUCUAUGGAUGUAAUAUUUCAUCAUCAUUCUUUAUCGGACACUGUUCUAUGGUCCUUUUACCACUUUUCCAGACCAUGUUUUCAGGUUUGACAUUACUGUACACUCACCGGCCACGUUAUUAGGUACACCAAUCUAGUACCGGGUAGGACUCCCUUUUGCCUCCACAACAGCCCGAGUUAUUCACGGUGUUGUACAUUAGGAGAUGCCCUUCUCCACACCACUGUUUUAAAUGGCUGUAAUUUGGGCAUUUGUGGCCUUUCUGUUAGCUUGAAUGAGUCUGGACACUCUCCUCUGACCUUUCUCAUUAACAAGGUGUUUUUGCCCACAGAACUGCCGCUCGCUGAAUGUGUUUUGUUUAUCGCACCAUUCUCUGUAAACUCUAGAGACUAGUGUGUAAAAAUCCCAGGAGGGCAGCUGUUUCUGAGAUGCUGGAACCACCAUGUGUGGCACCAACAAACAUACCACGGUCAAAGUUGCUGAGAUUACGCAUCUUGCCCAUUCUAAUGUUUGGUCGAACAACAACUAAAGCUCUCUACUCUAUAUGUUGAGUUGCAGGCAGCCACAUGAUUCGCUGUUCGAAGGAGCAGGCUAUUUGCAUUAACAUGCAGGUGUACCUAAUAAAGUGGCCAGUGUGUGUAUGUAUGCAGGCCCUUGUAAUUGUUUUCCCAAUACUGACAACUCGUUACUGAUGAUUGAUUUCACAUUGUGGUCUGAGUAUAUAGUGAAAUGAGUGGUAUCCACCUACAACAACAUAGCGAUAACAUGGGGCCAGCAGGUGAUCCAGGUCACAAUAGAGGUCAAGCAGUGGGAGGAGGAAGACGAGGAAGACGUAGUGGUCAAAGGAAUGGCAGGGGACAAGCACCGCUUCUGAGAGGUGGUCGUGGGCCUCGUUUGAGAGGUGUGAGGGAACAUGGUAGAGGACAAGACCAGGGACCAAGACAUCUGCAGCAAAAGCAAAGAGUGUCCAAUGAAAUCCGAGCAAUAGUUGUAGACCAUGUGGUAAAUCAUGGCAAAACAAUGACUGAGGCAGCUACAAUGAUUCCACCAAACCUCAGAAGAUCAAUCGUGGCCUCAAUCAUGAGAACUUUCCACAAUGAGAACUGAAUUGAGACUUGGCCAAAUAGUGGACGCAGAGGCAAAAUUCUGACUGACCAACAAGAGCGGGCUGUGGUCAAUUUAGUUCGGGCCAGAAAUUAUAAUCGCCUUACAGAAAUUCGGCAGAACAUCAUGGACUAUGAUGACAUGUUCAACAAUGUGGAAGCCAUAAGUUUGCAGACUAUUGCACGCAUGCUGAAAAGGCACCAGGCGUCUCUAAAACAGCUAUGCCGUGUGCCUUUUGAAAGAAAUGCAGACAGAGUGAAGCAACUGAGGACUGAAGGGUGAUGGAUCUGGAUGCUGAUGAAAACCUUCACAAAUUCCUCUUUUUGGAUGAGGCAGGCUUCAACCUGGCCAAGACAAGGAGGAAUUUCAUUGGCCAGAGGGCAACCAUCCAAGUACCUGGACAACGUGGGGCCAACAUCACCAUGUGUGCGGCUAUAUCGGAAGAUGGUGUGGUGGGACACAGACCUCGCAUUGGCUCAUAUAAUGCAGCUCUCCUUGUGUAACCUUCUUGAUGAGCUAAAUCAGGUCUGUAGAGAUGAUGGCGUGACCUAUGUCAUUGCGUGGGACAAUGUCAGGUUCCACCAUGCUCAAAUGGUGCAAGCAUGGUUUCAGGCCCAUCCACAAUUUACCACCCUGUACUUACCCCCAUACUCUCCUUUCCUUAACCCGAUUGAGGAAUUUUUCUCCACAUGGAGGCGGAAGGUAUAUGAUAGGCGCCCUCACGAACAAGCCACCCUUCUCCAGGCCAUGGAUGACACAUGCAAUGACAUCACGGCAGACCAGUGUCAGGCCUGGAUUCACCAUGCCCGAAGAUUCUUCCCAAGAUGCUUGGCCAAUGAAAACAUCCAUUGUGAUGUGGAUACGAACCUGUGGCCAAAUCCACAAUUGAUGGAAAUAUAGAAGUACAGUAAUCAAUACUUUGUUUUGCUUUUUACAGUAAGCCAGUUGACAUUUUACUGUAGUGUUUUUCUUUUUUGUAGCUAAUUAUUUUUGCUUUGAUUCAAGGAAACCUAUGUUGUGAUUUUAUUGUAUUUCAUCAAUAAAUUUCAGAUUUUGUUCAAUGAUUCCACUGUGUCUGUAGUAUUCUCUCUACUAGUCCUUUUACAGUGAAGUAUUUACGUGUAGUACCAUAAUGAAACACGUAUCACAUAUUUUGUACUACAAUAUUUUAUGAUUGUAUGAACAACUACACAGUGAAACUAUCGGCAUCUUGUGUGUGGGUGAUCUAAAUGAAUGUUCCUAUGGUAUUUCAUGAUAAUCGUUAUUUGAACCAAUGCAAGGUUUCUUUAAAGAUAUGAAGGCACAAUCCAUCUUUUUGAACAUUGGACAGCCUGUGUUACAAGUGAUGACCGUUUUGAGUUUUAUGUCUAGAGUUUUGAAAAAUGACCACAAGAUUCUGAAAUUAGUGCCAAAGGGAUUGUAAAAAACUGUAAAUAGCCAUCACUAAUUGGCUUCCACCCGGUUACGCAACCCUGCACCUUAGAGGCUGCUGCCCUAUAUACAUAUACUUGGAGUCACUGGCCACUUUAAACAUGGAACACUAGUCACUUUAAUAAUGUUUGAAUAGUGUUUACAUACUGCUUUACUCAUCUCAUAUGUAUAUACUGUAAUCUAUUGUACUGUAUUUUAGUUAAUGCCACUCCAACAUUGCUAAUUAUAUAUUUCUUAAUUACAUUAUUUUACUUUUAGAUGAGUGUGUAUUGUUGUGAAUUGUUAGAUAUUACUUUACUCUUGGAGCUAGAAACACAAGCCUUUCUCUACGCAGGGAUCCGGGGCCAUACUUCCCUUUUAGCUUUUUGCGUCUUUUCCCCACUAAAUGCUAAAUUGAACAUUUCUUUUGGAAAAGACAAUCACUCUAUUACUAAAAUAAUUGACUGUACUUUCUUCUAUUCUGUCACCUGUGCUAUAAACUAAUUUGUGUCACUUCACUCCUUCCAUAAUGCAAAAUAAAAUAUCUGUGGAGUCAAAAUCGAUAAAAACAGACACCUUAAAAUCACACUUCCGUCAAUAAAUGUCUCCCAUAUUCACA